GAGGGGUGCAAGCGUUAUUCGGGAAUCACUGGGGCGUAAAGGGCGUGUAGGCGGUUUAUUAAGUCAGUUGUUAAAUCCUCCGGCCUAACCGGGGGGGGCCUGCAAUUGAUACUGGUAUGACUAGAGUACAGAAGAGAGAGGUGGAAUUAUCGGAGUAGCGGUAAAAUGCGUAGAUCUCGAUAGGAACACCGAUGGCGAAGGCAGCCUCUUGGUCUGUGUCUGACGCUAAAGCGCGAAAGCGUGGGGAGCAAACAGGAUUAGAUACCCUGGUAGUCCACGCCGUAAACGAUGAUCACUAGAUGUGGCUUGAGCUUGCUCGGGCCGUGUCGUAGCUAACGCGUUAAGUGAUCCGCCUGGGAACUACGAUCGCAAGAUUA
rnacentral:rRNA from 1 species